AUGUCCAGUUCUAGCAGGGAGGGCGAGGUGGCGGUGGGGGCGCCUGCUGCCCCUUCGCCCAGCAAAAAGAGGAAAUUUUCGCCCAUAAUUUGGGACAGGGAUAGCCCAAAACCGCCGCCGUUACAUUCUGGUGCAGUGACUGUAAAGGGAGUGGUGGUAUCCGCAUCUGCUGAUAUAGCAAGUGACAAGAAAGUGGUGGAGUCCUCUUCUGCUCAACUCCCUCCCCCUCCCCCGCUGCCUCCACAGGGGCACAUCCCAGAGAGGUUGGUCGUGGAGAAUUCACCGAUGGAUGUGGACCUCGCCGUUGAUACUGACAACACUGAGCAGUUGCACGAGCUGGAGGAUAAUAAAGUGCUUGAGGUAGAGGAGAGUGAAGUAAAGGAGGAAGAGGAGAGUAAAGCUGCUUGUUGA
rnacentral:rRNA from 1 species